UGAUGACGGAGGCUUUAUCUGUGG
rnacentral:piRNA from 1 species